CCUACGGGUGGCUGCAGUGGGGAAUAUUGCACAAUGGGCGCAAGCCUGAUGCAGCCAUGCCGCGUGUGUGAAGAAGGCCUUCGGGUUGUAAAGCACUUUCAGCGGGGAGGAAGGCGGUGAGGUUAAUAACCUCAUCGAUUGACGUUACCCGCAGAAGAAGCACCGGCUAACUCCGUGCCAGCAGCCGCGGUAAUACGGAGGGUGCAAGCGUUAAUCGGAAUUACUGGGCGUAAAGCGCACGCAGGCGGUCUGUCAAGUCGGAUGUGAAAUCCCCGGGCUCAACCUGGGAACUGCAUUCGAAACUGGCAGGCUAGAGUCUUGUAGAGGGGGGUAGAAUUCCAGGUGUAGCGGUGAAAUGCGUAGAGAUCUGGAGGAAUACCGGUGGCGAAGGCGGCCCCCUGGAUAAAGACUGACGCUCAGGUGCGAAAGCGUGGGGAGCAAACAGGAUUAGAUACCCUUGUAGUC
rnacentral:rRNA from 1 species